rnacentral:hammerhead_ribozyme from 1 species
AUCCAGCUGACGAGUCCCAAAUAGGAAAAGAACACGCGUCCUGGAU